GAGAAGUAAUAUUUAAUAGAAGGCUGGUCUCUCGUCCCAGCUGGAGUGGUCAUUCUGAGAACCCUUCCCUGGCUCCCCAUCACUCAGAGGAACAAGGCCACUUUUCCGAGCUUCUCUUUUUGUAUCUGCGCUGUCUGUCUAAUGGUGGAACUGAGACGCCUGUAGCUAUUGAGCAAUCCAGUGUACGGUUGAGAAGACCAGGAGGCCGUGCCUGGCCUGGCUUUGCCUCUGCCUGAUCAAGAGUGAACAAACAUAAUCAACAUGGGACCUGUGAAAAUAUCCUACAGCGCAAGG